CCUACGGGAGGCAGCAGUAGGGAAUAUUGCACAAUGGGGGAAACCCUGAAGCAGCAACGCCGCGUGGAGGAUGAAGGUUUUCGGAUUGUAAACUACUUUUGUUAGAGAAGAUAAUGACGGUAUCUAACGAAUAAGCACCGGCUAACUCCGUGCCAGCAGCCGCGGUAAUACGUAGGGUGCAAGCGUUACCCGGAAUCACUGGGCGUAAAGAGUGCGUAGGCGGGAUAGCAAGUCAGAGGUGAACGCCUAUGGGUGAACCAUAGAACUGCAUUUGAAACUGUUAUUAUUGAGUAUGGUAGAGGUAGGUGGAAUUCCUGGUGUAGGGGUAAAAUGCGUAGAGAUCAAGAGGAAAACUCAUAGCGAAGGCGACCUGCUGGGACAUAACUGACGCUGAGGCACGAAAGCGUGGGGAGCAAACAGGAUUAGAUACCCCUGUAGUC
rnacentral:rRNA from 1 species